rnacentral:rRNA from 1 species
UUGGAGGGCAAGUCUGGUGCCAGCAGCCGCGGUAAUUCCAGCUCCAAUAGCGUAUAUUAAAGUUGUUGCAGUUAAAAAGCUCGUAGUUGAAUUUCGGGGUCAGUAGGUUGGUCAUGCCACUGGUAUGUACUGGCCUCACUGAUUCCUCCUUCCUGAUGAGCCGUAAUGCCAUUAAUUUGGUGUUGCGAGGAAUCUGGACUGUUACUUUGAAAAAAUUAGAGUGUUUAAAGCAGGCUAACGCUUGAAUACAUUAGCAUGGAAUAAUGAAAUAGGACGUUCGAUCUUAUUUUGUUGGUUUCUAAGAUUGACGUAAUGAUUAAUAGGGAUAGUUGGGGGCAUUAGUAUUCAAUUGUCAGAGGUGAAAUUCUUGGAUUUAUUGAAGACUAACUACUGCGAAAGCAUUUGCCAAGGAUGUUUUCAUUAAUCAAGAACGAAAGUUAGGGGAUCGAAGACGAUCAGAUACCGUCGUAGUCUUAACCAUAAACUAUGCCGACUAGGGAUCGGAUGAUGUUAAUUUUUUAAUGACUCAUUCGGCACCUUACGGGAAAC